rnacentral:rRNA from 1 species
UCAAGCUAAUAAGGGCGCAAGGGGAAUGCCUUGGCAUUGGAAGCCGAUGAAGGACGUAGCGAUCUACGAAAAGCUGCGGGUAGGCGAAAGCAGCCUUUGAUCCGCAGAUAUCCGAAUGGGGAAACCCGGCUGGGCAAAACCCAGUCAACCUUAUGUGAAUCAAAUAGCAUAAGGUGGGGAACCGCCUGAACUGAAACAUCUAAGUAGGGCGAGGAAGAGAAAUCAACCGAGAUUCCGUAAGUAGUGGCGAGCGAACGCGGAAGAGGCCAAACCAGAAGUAGUAAUACCUCUGGGGUUUAGGACAGCAUAUGGUAUUGAAGGUAUCUAGCAGAAUGAGAUGGGAAGCUCAACCAUAGAAAGUGAGAGUCUUGUAUGCGAAAGAGAAGAUCAGCCAGCUGGAUCCAGAGUACCGCCGGACACGUGAAACCCGGUGGGAAGACGGGGGGACCACCCUCCAAGCCUAAAUACUCUCCAAUGACCGAUAGUGUAAAGUACUGUGAAGGAAAGGUGAAAAGGACCCCUGGCGGGGAGUGAAAUAGAACCUGAAACCUUGUGCCUACAAGCACAUAGAGCACGUCAACGUGUGAUAUGGUACCUUUUGUAGAAUGGUCCGGCGAGUAAAUGUUACUGGCAAGGUUAAGCACUUCAGGUGCGCAGCCGAAGCGAAAGCGAGUCUGAACAGGGCGUUGAGUCAGUAGUAUUUGACCCGAAACCGGGUGACCUAACCAUGAGCAGGCUGAAGUGGAGGUAAAGCUCCAUGGAGGGCCGAACCCACCGUCGUUGAAAUGCCGGGGGAUGACUUGUGGUUAGCGGUGAAAUUCCAAUCGAACCCGGAGAUAGCUGGUUCUCUCCGAAAUAGCUUUAGGGCUAGCCUUAACUAACAUUACCGAAGGUAAAGCACUGAAUGAGCUAGGGGGCGAAAGCUUACUGAACUCUAUCAAACUAAGAAUGUCGGAUAAUGAAUGGUUAGGAGUCACACAGUGUGAGAUAAGUUUCAUUGUGGAAAGGGAAACAGCCCAGACCCACAGCUAAGGUCCCAAAGUGCAGUUAAGUGGAGAAGGAUGUGGAAUUGCGUAGACAACCAGGACGUUGGCUCAGAAGCAGCCACACAUUCAAAGAGUGCGUAAUAGCUCACUGGUCGAGUGAUUCUGCGCCGAAAAUUUAACGGGGCUAAAUUGCACACCGAAGCUUGGGAAUCCUAUCAUUCACAAAGUACUUGAUCCGAGAAAACACCUUCCGCAAAGCGAAAGCAAAUUCCUUCUGUUAAAUCAGCACCGCUUGAAGAAAGAUCGGCCCCUAAUUGAGGAACCGAGACGAUUUGCGGAAGCAAAUUUCUCAAGCGAAAGCACAAAAGAUCGAAUACUUUGUGAAUGAUAGGGUUGGUAGGAGAGCGUCGUAUACGGGGUGAAGUCGUAUCGAAAGAGGCGGUGGACUGUAUACGAGUGAGAAUGCCGGAAUGAGUAGCGAGAAUUAUGUGAGAAUCAUAAUGGCCGAAAGACUAAGGUUUUAGAAGGAAGGUUCGUCCGCUUCUAGUUAGCCGGAAGCUAAGGCGAGGCCGAGAGGCGUAGUCGAUGCACAUACGGUGGAGAUUCCGUAGCCGCCAACCAUUUAAGCCAAAGGACACAUUUGAAGGGUACGACCCGGGCGUUGGUUGCCCCGGGCGAAAGGGACCGAAAAUAAGUAGGGAAGUCGUGCUUGGAGAGUGGCGAGAAAAGUUUGGUGUAUAGAAGUUGGUGUCCGUACUGCAAACCGACACAGGUAGUCAGGAAGAGGAUUCUAAGGCCAUCGGGAGAAGGGUUGUUAAGGAACUCGGCAAAUUAGCCCCGUAACUUCGGGAGAAGGGGUGCUCACGAAAGUGAGCCGCAGUGAAUAGGUCCAGGCGACUGUUUAUCAAAAACACAGCUCUCUGCUAAAUCGUAAGAUGACGUAUAGGGGGUGACACCUGCCCGGUGCUGGAAGGUUAAGAGGAGGCGUGCAAGCGCUGAAUCGAAGCCCCAGUAAACGGCGGCCGUAACUAUAACGGUCCUAAGGUAGCGAAAUUCCUUGUCGGGUAAGUUCCGACCUGCACGAAUGGUGUAACGAUCUGGACACUGUCUCAACAACCCACCCGGCGAAAUUGUAGUACCGGUGAAGAUGCCGGUUACCCGCGGCAAGACGGAAAGACCCCAUGGAGCUUUACUGUAACCUAAUAUUGGGUUUUGGUAUUCUAUGUACAGGAUAGGCGGGAGACUAGGAAACAGCGGCGCCAGCUGCUGCGGAGUCACCCUUGGGAUACCGCUCUUAGAGUACUGAAAUUCUAACCUGCGGCCUUGAAUCAGGUCGGGGGACAUUGUUAGGCGGGCAGUUUGACUGGGGCGGUCGCCUCCGAAAGCGUAACGGAGGCGUUCAAAGGUUCGCUCAGCAUGGACGGAAACCAUGCCUCUGAGUGCAAACGCAAAAGCGAGCCUAACUGCGAGACAGACAGGUCGAGCAGUAACGAAAGUUGGAGUUAGUGAUCCGGCGGUAUGUGAGUGGAAAUGCCGUCGCUCAACGGAUAAAAGCUACCCUGGGGAUAACAG